UACGUAGGGCGCAAGCGUUAUCCGGAAUUAUUGGGCGUAAAGAGCUCGUAGGCGGUUUGUCGCGUCUGCCGUGAAAGUCCGGGGCUUAACUCCGGAUCUGCGGUGGGUACGGGCAGACUAGAGUGCAGUAGGGGAGACUGGAAUUCCUGGUGUAGCGGUGAAAUGCGCAGAUAUCAGGAGGAACACCGAUGGCGAAGGCAGGUCUCUGGGCUGUAACUGACGCUGAGGAGCGAAAGCAUGGGGAGCGAAGAGG
rnacentral:rRNA from 1 species